ensembl:lncRNA
AUGAAAGUUGCGUUCAUUGUGUUCUGAGCAGAAAGAGUUGGAAAAACAACUAGAAAAUGUCCUGACCUGUGAUCAGAAAGAGCGGGCCAGCUCUUCCUGCCAGGCGUUCCUCAAAAUCUUCCAGGGGUGAGUUGGUGUUUCCGUUGAUUCUUUGGACUGCUGGGGCUGGAGAGAGAGAAGAUGAUGAGACACUUAGCAUCCUCAAUGCCUUUGCGCAGAGACGCCCUGUUGAGAGCAUCGGGAGGAGCUGUGGAAAGGAACCAUAGAUUCGGUGCAAGACGUCGGGCUGCCUGUCACCAGCCGAGUUCAAGCCAUGGUUCUGAACACGUUUGCAGAGUUUCUGCAAAGAGCACGUUAGCUGUGAUUGCAGACCACAGGAGAAACCCAGUCCCGUCCGGUUCUAGAAGUGUUUACUGCAAAGGGCCGGCACAGCAUUACAGGAAAAGAUUCUUGGGAACCGUCUGCUCCGGCGCCUGGUGCAGAGGCGGCCCCAGUUGUCCACACGUUGACCAUGAGCACCCACAUCUGUUUCACGGAAGAAGCAGCAGUUAGGCUGAGAAGGGGGACGGCUCACACCGCUGGAUGGGGCUGACGUGCGGGGCAGCGCCUGCAUCUCCGCCUUCACACGCAGAUACCGGGGUGAGGGUGCCCCCCACUUCCUCCAGCAGCAGGCCGGUGCCGGACCCUCCCCCCAGCUGCAUGUGCUGCAGAACUGCUGCGUCCUCAGGAAAACGUGGCAGGAUCUGGGCCAGGCCCACACUCCCCUGGCAGACUUGGUGCUGUGCACCAUCAACGCCAUUGAGGACCAGAGCCAGGAUGCCCUCGUGUCUGGAGUCAGAAGCCUGUGCCAGGCUCUCUCCAGCCCAGGGCAAUGACGGGGAUACAGCAAAGCCCAGGCAAAGCUAGCUUUGAGUUGCCUGUGUCCAGCCUCCACCCUGCCCGGGCCUGGGCCUUGGUCUGCAGUGGGAGAAGGACAGCUCAGCAUCCUGUCGGCCAGAGACGGGCUCCGUGCGGCUGAGGGGGCUGGGGCUGGCCUUGCCUCUGCUCAGGGGGCCCGGCUCCACCCUCACAGAGGGCACCUUCCUGGGCAGGGUCCACAUUUGCAGUCCUCUGUCCACGGGCAGACCCGCUCUUGGCUCUCUCUAUCUGUGGAGCCACCUGUCCUGCCAGGCCAGUGGAGGCCUGACACCCUGCCCCCUGCCCCGAUCCCGCUUUGCCCCAUGUGCCUCCCAGGCAGGUGAAGCCCCCUCCAUGGUGUUCCCAGGGUCUCCAUGCCUCCCCCAAGCACUGGCUGCCUCCAGGCUAGGGCCUCGCCCAGAUUCCAGGGGUCCCAGGAGAUGCCAAGGGCUGGGCCCAGGAGCUGAAGCCUUGAGAGGGCACGGUGUCCUCCUGGAUGUGGAAACCAUGGGGUCCAGGGCCCUCUGAGGUGGUCGCCAUUGGAUUUUCCAGAGAUAUGAGCACUUGGCUCAGCGAGACACGGAAAUAUCCAGGGCACCAAGGCUGACGAGAACACUGCCGGGGCCUCACCCCAAGCUGGGGCAGACGUUGCUAAUCGAACCCCACGUUCUGCUGCUCUGGGGCAGAUGGAGCCCCAGUGUCUGCUCAGAGCUCCCGGCAGACCCAGCCACUUGGCAGGACUUGGCUCUGAGCUUUACAGACGAUGCUGACGAGGCUGCACCAUGCAGAUGGGGUGCUGGAGGUCCCCCAGCUGCACAUCUGGUCUGGUGUUCCCCUGAGAAAGCCUACUGGGGCAUCACUUCGGGAGGGAAGACGAGGAGCUGGCCCGUGCUCUGCGAUCCCUCCGGCAGGGCCUGGAGCGCUACCCCGGCCUGCUUCCUCCCCACAUACAAGAGCCUUGUGCAAAGUCUGUACAGAGCGGUCUUCACUGAGUACCUCCAGGCCUUGGUCACCCAUCUCAAGAAGCUGAAGCCCCGGAAGUGGAAAGACCAGCAGGGUCAGGUGGAAACGGACGUCCAGGAGCUGCGUGAGACUUUCGGGAGGCAGGAAGGCCUCUGUGACGGAGCCCCUGGCCUGGAGGCCUUCAUGGAGGUCUUCCAGCUCAGCGGGGAGAGGGGCAGCCCGUGUCUGGAUGGAUGGCUGGCCUCCUUCAGGGACAGGUUCCCAGACUACGUGAGGAGGGAAUCCAAGGCCAGAGAAGGGCAAGGACUUGCCCAGGGUCCCCUGCAGGCUGGUGCAGGCCCCUCCCUGGUCUCUCCGCCUCCUGACACUGAGAUCCACCCAGCUGGACCCUCGGAGCGGCCCAGUCCAGAUCCCUUCCUGGUGUCCAGGGCUCCCGGCACACAGGGCCAGCCCGAGGAGCCUGAGCUCAGGAGCUGCUGCCCUUGCUCCUGGGGCUUCCUCACGACUUUCACAAGGUGACCGAGGGUGUGAGGGCUCCAGGGCCUUCUCCAGGGACGCUGGUCUGGCUCCUAGACAAACCCCCCACCAGUCUAUUUCCUUUGCUUCCUGUCCUGAGAUGCCCGUCACCAUUGUCUUGGCCGAGAUCUAUCCUGUCUGUUCCCUGGCAAAUGUCUUCACGGCGGAGGACCAGCCUCAUGUCUGGAGGACCAGACAGACGUUUGUCCUCAUCUCCUCGGCGCCCGCUGGCCGCCCCAAGUGGAGGUGGAAGUGAGCGCUCGUUUCAGGGAGCCUCUCCCCCUGGGGCUCUGGACAUUGUGUGGCUCUGGGACCCGGUUAAGGCGGAGGAUGUGAGUGCCCCUGGCCCCUUCACAGGCGGCAGUCUGAAAUCCAGAAAGAAGCCACCCUUCUCAAGCCUGGACUCCUCCACCAGAAGGAUCCUGAGUCAGACACCAGGCAGUGAAAGGCCGGCCUCCUCCAUGGUCCACCCAGAAGCAGCGGAGGGCGAGGGCGGGGCAGGCAGAGGGCAAGGUGCGGGAGCGUCCCACCAGCCUGGCCGCAUGUCCUCUCCUGUGUGGACCGCAGCUUUACUGAGAUGCAAUUCACCUGCCGCGUGUUUUGACCACUGAAGUCUCACGUACCAUUCAGUGGUUUUUAGCAUAUUCACAGCUGUGCAGCCAUCACCGCAGUCAAUGUUAGGACUUUUCAUCUACCCUAGAAAGAGACCCUGCAACUUUGUUGGCAUGACCCCAAACCCCUCUUCCCGCCAUGCCCCCGGCCCUGGGCAGGCCACAUAUGCGUGUCUGUUCCGGACACGUCGCAUGGAGUGAAUUACGUAAUACGUUGCCUUUCGUGACUGGCUUCUCUC